CUCAACUGGCUGGUUUUGCUUCCAUUAAGGAUUAACCAAAUCUUAGUUUGGAUCAAGUACAAGGUACUGUAGGAAUAUGCUUAAAAUCAUGGUUCUUAUGCUUUCACUAACAAAUCCUUACAUUACAUGGUUAAUUGUAACUGCAAUUGCAAGGUUCAGUGAUACUUCAGGCUGCAGGGCAACACACAUUGCUCAAUAUUAUCUGUACACCUUGUAGAAACUGCAUACCGUUACUGAAAUAUAUGUAACUACAGCUGUUGCACUUUAGUUAUUUCUGUAACUUUGACAUCUUGCUUCCCCCACCCUAUGUAACUUCUUUGCUUCUCCUAUAUGUAGCACAUGUUCUAUUUCUGUGAUUCUGCAAACUUUGCUGUAUGUUUGUCUCUCUCCUUAUACGCUGUUACGGGGGGGGGGUUACUGGAGGGCGUGCAAAUUAAUCAGACAAUUUCUGCAUCAUUUCUUGUGUGGUGCAGUGUUUGUCUCCUGGAGAUCUCUGGAUCCUAAGUGAGGAGCUCCAAGGGCGUGGCAGGUACAGGUUGGUCAAGGACCCAAACCCAACAGAGCAUUUUGGAAAGCAGUUUUCCAGAUAAUAGAUCCCAUACCGGUACUAAGCAAAAAAGAAAAAACGACAGUGGGAAAUAAGUUGACUGCUAAAAAGAAACUUACAGAAUAGAAGAAAGAAGCAAUAAAAUUUGAAGAAAAACCAUUUUGAACCCUUGAAAAGAAUGUACUGUAGAACAAGAAUGUAUUUCAUUAUACGGAAUCAUUAUUUGUACAGAUACCAUAUCAGAAAACAAAUGAUUCUGAAAUAAUCACAUUGGAAGAAAAUGUAAGUGGAUAUGUUACAUAUAUAAUUGCAAUACCGGUUUUCCUCCCAAUUGUACUGAUCGGAUGGCUUGGAUGGUAAGUCACUUCAUGUAACUGUGUUCUUUUUAUAAACAUAAAAAAACAUUUACCAUUGCCACUAUUAAAGCUAUCCCAAAUUAGGCCUUAGCACAUUUGCAGAAUGUCACAUUUGUUUUGUUGUUUUGCAGGUAUCCAAGUAUAAAAAAGCUAAAUUGAGAACAGAACAGUAGAAAUUGCUACAAGUGAUGGAACAGAAGAAAUUGCCAAAAGUGAACGAAAAGAAGACAUUUCCCAGAAAUCCUAAAAAAAAAAAGAAAAAGCCUGGGCCUCCAUGAAAAAAACUCAUAGAGGAGUCAUUGGAGGAAGAGAGAAAAGACAAGGAACAGGCAUCAGAAUCCAGAAAAAUUCCUAGUCCAAUUUUAGAACAGGCAAGGUGUCAUACCAGGAUAGAGGAAGACCAGCUUUCAGAUAAGCAAGAAGACUCAGGUAUAGACUAUUUCAUGCCAUUUUUGGCCGAGUACCUUACAAAUAAAACCCCCUCGCUAGGCGUGUGCAUAAGAGGUGAGUAUACGCAUAUGAAGCAUCAUUCAUCUAUUUUCUUGUGUGUG